CCUAGUGUGGUAGUAGUGGGGAAGAGUGCACAAGGGGGGAAACCCGGAGGCAGCGACGCCGAGUGAGUGAAGAAGUAUUUCGGUAUGUAAAGCUCUAUCAGCAGGGAAGAAAAAGACGGUACCUGAUUAAGAAGCCCCGGCUAACUACGGGCCAGCAGCCGCGGGAAUACGUAGGGGGCAAGCGUUAUCCGGAUUUACUGGGUGUAAAGGGAGCGUAGACGGCAGCACAAGGCUGGAGUGAAAUCCCGGGGCUUAACCCCGGAACUGCUUUGGAAACUGUGCAGCUAGAGUGCAGGAGAGGUAAGUGGAAUUCCUAGUGUAGCGGUGAAAUGCGUAGAUAUUAGGAGGAACACCAGUGGCGAAGGCGGCUUACUGGACUGUAACUGACGUUGAGGCUCGAAAGCGUGGGGAGCAAACAGGAUUAGAUACCCCGGUAGUC
rnacentral:rRNA from 1 species